AGUGGAAAAAUCAUUUCAGAGAUGGAUAACUAAAAUCUCUAGAAGUUCUGGAUCUAUCGAGAAAUUAUUUUGAUGGAGAAAUUCCUUUGACUCUUGCUGAAAUAUCUUCCCUCAACACCUUGAAUUUGUCAAACAACAACUUGAGAAGACAAAUUCCAACGGGAACACAAUUGCAAUCUUUUGAGCCCUCCAGCUAUGAAGGAAACCCUUACCUUUGCAGGAGGCCGUUGGACAAGCUCUGUCCUUUUGAAGAUCGUCCAUUAGGGAAUGCGGCACAAGCUACCCAGGUUGCUGAUGAAGACGACACCUUCAUGAAAGGAUUCUCUGAAAGCUUGGGCGUGGGAUUUGUUGUUGGAUUUUGGAUAGUGUUUGGAUCAUUGUUAGCUAUUCGAUCAUGGAGGCAUGCCUACUUCAAUUUUGUAGGCAAGUUGUCAGACUCUAUCUAUGUGGCAAUAGUGCUUCUUGUGGCAAGAUGGCGCAGGUGGCUCUGCAGCUAGAAGCUAGAGCUGGGCAUCCUGGGGUUUAUCUGCAACAGCCUAAACACAACUCUUGCUUAUCAGAUUUUACGGCGAGUGUCAUAUAGUAGUUUGUGCAGGUAGGCAUAUAGUGUGGCAGAAAUUAAUAAGGCAAGAAGAAUAAGAAAUUUUACUGUAUCAUCCUCUUUUGUUACUUCUUUUAGUUGCGGGAUUAUGUAUUCUGUAUUGGGACUGUAAUUUUAUUGUAAUCUUUAUUGGCAUGAAUCUGUUGUUAGUUUUAUUGUGUUAUGAAUUUCAUUAUCAU